GGAAUCAGAUGUAGUAUAAAAAAGAAAACUUGUUAAAAAGUUUUCAUUUGCUUUGCUCAAUUUUAUUACUCAAAAGUUUCUUAUUUUCUCAGAAAAACAAAAUCUCUGAUGCUUAAGAUCAACCCUGCCUCCUCUUAAAGUUGCCUUUGUCUUUUACUGGCUAUAGCUAAAGAGUACCAAAUUUUAUCUUCUCCAAAAUUAGGCUUUGCACAUCCGAGGCCCAUUUCUCAUUGGCUGAGUGAUACCUUGGGUAUUUAAAUAAUCAUUCGAUUAUUCCUGUUCUCCACAUCUAGAUGCUGCUAGAAAAGUGCUCACACUCUGUUAUCCAGCAUUCCCCCUCUUCGAAAACAAAGCAGAAAGGACUUACAGUCCGUUAUACAAGUCGUUUCACGAAGGACAGUGAACUGGAUCUGGAACUGAAUGCUGUCCAUGAACUGACUCGACAACAGCAAAAUACAGUGACCGAGCAAGCUAGAUUUCCUGUCAACUCUCAGUCACAAUCUGAUUGCUCUUUUUCUGUGUCAUUUCUUGGUUCUCCGCCAUUUUCGGGCAUCCCUAUCCUACUCUGGUGAGCACUAUACCAUUUUGGGAGGUUGUAACUCUCAGUGGGCAUGAUACAUUUUAUCCCUGCCAUUGGUGGGGGAGGGACCAGUUCACUAUUUAUGCUGCUCUAGGGUUCAAAGUAUCUGCUGAGUCUAGCCUCCUUAAGAAUAGAACUUGAAGUUUCUUUCUUUUUAUCUUUUUACUUUUUCUUUUUCUUUUUUUGUCCAGAUAGGGUUUUUCUAUAUAGCCCUGGCUGUCCUGGAACUCACUCUGUAGACCAGGCUGGCCUCGAACUCAGAAAUCC
rnacentral:lncRNA from 1 species